GUAGGGAAUUUUCCACAAUGGGCGAAAGCCUGAUGGAGCAAUACCGCGUGCAGGAUGAAGGCCUUCGGGUUGUAAACUGCUUUUAUGUGAGAAGAAUUUGACGGUAACACAUGAAUAAGGAUCGGCUAACUACGUGCCAGCAGCCGCGGUCAUACGUAGGAUCCAAGCGUUAUCCGGAAUUACUGGGCGUAAAGAGUUGCGUAGGUGGCAUUAUAAGUGGAGCGUGAAAGCGUGCGGCUCAACCGCAUUAUUGCGUUCUAAACUGUAAAGCUUGAGUAUGGGAGAGGUAGAUGGAAUUUCUAGUGUAGGAGUGAAAUCCGUAGAUAUUAGAAGGAACACCGAUGGCGUAGGCAGUCUACUGGCCCAUUACUGACACUAAGGCACGAAAGCGUGGGUAGCAAACGGGAUUAGAUACCCCAGUAGUCC
rnacentral:rRNA from 1 species